rnacentral:rRNA from 1 species
UACGAAGGGGGCUAGCGUUGUUCGGAAUCACUGGGCGUAAAGCGCACGUAGGCGGAUUCCUAAGUCAGGGGUGAAAUCCCGAGGCUCAACCUCGGAACUGCCUUUGAUACUGGGGAUCUUGAGUCCGGGAGAGGUGAGUGGAACUGCGAGUGUAGAGGUGAAAUUCGUAGAUAUUCGCAAGAACACCAGUGGCGAAGGCGGCUCACUGGCCCGGUACUGACGCUGAGGUGCGAAAGCGUGGGGAGCAAACAGG